rnacentral:rRNA from 1 species
AAGGGUAAGACCCGGAGCAAUCCGGGAGGCCAGUAGAGGUGCUGCAUGGCUGUCGUCAGCUCGUGUCGUGAGAUGUUGGGUUAAGUCCCGCAACGAGCGCAACCCUACCCUUAGUUGCCAGCGGGUAAUGCCGGGCACUCUAAGGGGACCGCCCCGGAUAACGGGGAGGAAGGCGGGGAUGACAUCAAGUCAGCAUGGCCUUUAUGUCCAGGGCUACACACGUGCUACAAUGGGCGAUACAGAGGGAAGCAAGGCCGCAAGGUAGAGCUAAUCCCUAAAGUCGUCCUCAGUUCGGAUUGCAGGCUGCAACUCGCCUGCAUGAAGUCGGAAUCGCUAGUAAUCGCGGAUCAGCUACGCCGCGGUGAAUACGUUCUCGGGCCUU